AUUGAACGCUGGCGGCAGGCCUAACACAUGCAAGUCGGACGGUAGCACAGAGAGCUUGCUCUCGGGUGACGAGUGGCGGACGGGUGAGUAAUGUCUGGGGAUCUGCCCGAUAGAGGGGGAUAACCACUGGAAACGGUGGCUAAUACCGCAUAACGUCGCAAGACCAAAGAGGGGGACCUUCGGGCCUCUCACUAUCGGAUGAACCCAGAUGGGAUUAGCUAGUAGGCGGGGUAACGGCCCACCUAGGCGACGAUCCCUAGCUGGUCUGAGAGGAUGACCAGCCACACGGGAACUGGGACACGGUCCAGACUCCUACGGGAGGCAGCAGUGGGGAAUAUUGCACAAUGGGCGCAAGCCUGAUGCAGCCAUGCCGCGUGUAUGAAGAAGGCCUUCGGGUUGUAAAGUACUUUCAGCGGGGAGGAAGGCGAUGUGGUUAAUAACCGCAUUGAUUGACGUUACCCGCAGAAGAAGCACCGGCUAACUCCGUGCCAGCAGCCGCCGUAA
rnacentral:rRNA from 1 species